rnacentral:lncRNA from 1 species
UUUUCAAUCACAUGGUUUAACCAACUAACUAACAUGUUUAACCCCGCCACAUUAUUUAUGUAUGUGCCUUUCCCAAGUCAGGAGCCUGUAAUUCAGUGGUUGUCGUUCGGUUAUGUGUUACAUAUUUGUUUUUCGUUCAUUUUUCUUUUAUAUAAUAAGGCCGUUAUUUUCUCGUUUGAAUUGUUUUACAUUGUCUUAUCGGGGCCUUUUAUAGCUGACUAUGCGGUAUGGGCUUUGCUCAUUGUUGAAGGCCGUACGGCGACCUAUAAUUGUCAAUGUCUGCGUUAUUUUGGUCUCUUGUGGACAGUUGUCUCAUUGGCAAUCUUACCACAUCUUCUUUUUUAUAAUUCUAUUUGAAGUGAUGAUACAAUGGCGGAAUUUAAAAACGGUUGCAAAUACGUCUACCGAC